rnacentral:rRNA from 1 species
GAUGAACGCUGGCGGCGUGCCUAAUACAUGCAAAGUCGAGCGAACAGAUAAGGAGCUUGCUCCUUUGACGUUAGCGGCGGACGGGUGAGUAACACGUGGGUAACCUACCUAUAAGACUGGGGAUAACUUCGGGAAACCGAGCUAAUACCGGAUAACAUUUGGAACCGCAUGGGUCUAAAAGUGAAAGAUGGUUUUGCUAUCACUUAUA